GGGAGUGUGGCCUAGUGGAAUAAGGCGUCGGUUUCCGGAGCCGAAGAUCGAGAGUUCGAAUCUCUCCACUUCCU